GGGCAGGUACCGAAGUGGUCAACCGGGACAGACUGUAAAUCUGUUGGCUUAUGUCUUCGAAGGUUCGAAUCCUUCCCUGCCCA
rfam:Candidatus Peregrinibacteria bacterium RIFOXYB12_FTLL_41_12 rifoxyb3_full_scaffold_392, whole genome shotgun sequence.